rnacentral:rRNA from 1 species
GAUGAACGCUGGCGGCGUGCUUAACACAUGCAAGUCGAACGGUGAAAGAGAGCUUGCUCUCUGGAUCAGUGGCAAACGGGUGAGUAACACGUGAGCAAUCUGCCCCUGACUCUGGGAUAAGCGCUGGAAACGGCGUCUAAUACCGGAUACGAGCUGCGAAGGCAUCUUCAGCAGCUGGAAAGAACUUCGGUCAGGGAUGAGCUCGCGGCCUAUCAGCUAGUUGGUGAGGUAACGGCUCACCAAGGCGUCGACGGGUAGCCGGCCUGAGAGGGUGACCGGCCACACUGGGACUGAGACACGGCCCAGACUCCUACGGGAGGCAGCAGUGGGGAAUAUUGCACAAUGGGCGAAAGCCUGAUGCAGCAACGCCGCGUGAGGGACGACGGCCUUCGGGUUGUAAACCUCUUUUAGCAGGGAAGAAGCGAAAGUGACGGUACCUGCAGAAAAAGCACCGGCUAACUACGUG